rnacentral:rRNA from 1 species
CAUAGGUUAAUGAGGCGAACCGGGGGAACUGAAACAUCUAAGUACCCCGAGGAAAAGAAAUCAACCGAGAUUCCCCCAGUAGCGGCGAGCGAACGGGGAGCAGCCCAGAGCCUGAAUCAGUGUGUGUGUUAGUGGAAGCGUCUGGAAAGGCGCGCGAUACAGGGUGACAGCCCCGUACACAAAAAUGCACAUACUGUGAGCUCGAUGAGUAGGGCGGGACACGUGGUAUCCUGUCUGAAUAUGGGGGGACCAUCCUCCAAGGCUAAAUACUCCUGACUGACCGAUAGUGAACCAGUACCGUGAGGGAAAGGCGAAAAGAACCCCGGCGAGGGGAGUGAAAAAGAACCUGAAACCGUGUACGUACAAGCAGUGGGAGCACGCUUAGGCGUGUGACUGCGUACCUUUUGUAUAAUGGGUCAGCGACUUAUAUUCUGUAGCAAGGUUAACCGAAUAGGGGAGCCGAAGGGAAACCGAGUCUUAACUGGGCGUUAAGUUGCAGGGUAUAGACCCGAAACCCGGUGAUCUAGCCAUGGGCAGGUUGAAGGUUGGGUAACACUAACUGGAGGACCGAACCGACUAAUGUUGAAAAAUUAGCGGAUGACUUGUGGCUGGGGGUGAAAGGCCAAUCAAACCGGGAGAUAGCUGGUUCUCCCCGAAAGCUAUUUAGGUAGCGCCUCGUGAAUUCAUCUCCGGGGGUAGAGCACUGUUUCGGCAAGGGGGUCAUCCCGACUUACCAACCCGAUGCA